rnacentral:rRNA from 1 species
UACGUAGGGUGCGAGCGUUGUCCGGAAUUACUGGGCGUAAAGAGCUCGUAGGUGGUUUGUCACGUCGUCUGUGAAAUUCCGGGGCUUAACCUCGGGCGUGCAGGCGAUACGGGCAAUACUUGAGUGCUGUAGGGGAGACUGGAAUUCCUGGUGUAGCGGUGAAAUUCGUAGAUAUCGGGAGGAACACCAGUGGCGAAGGCGGUUUCCUGGCCUGAUACUGACGCUGAGGCGCGAAAGCGUGGGGAGCAAACAGGAUUAGAUACCCCGGUAGUCCCUGAGCGGG